UUCCUCUCCUCUCCCCCAGAAACGCCCCCGCCGCCGACUCAAUCCGCCCUGCUCCGCCCGCGACUCAGCCCGCCCUGCUAUGCCCGCGUCUCCAGUCUACUUUGCCCGUGGCGACCUCGUGCCGAUCUGGCCGCCCCGCGGCCGGGCACGAUCUGGAGGACCAACAGGCGGUGGUGCACGGUCUGGGCGGCGGCGACCUGCGCGGCCCAGGUGCUGCACCGAUGCCUCCUUCCUCCGUCGCCCAGGUCCAAGGCGGCUCUCUUCUAGCCAACCACCAGCCAUGCGUCGCCCCCUCCUCCUUGGCCGACUCUCUCCUCCUCUAGAGAAGUAGCACGGGGCUCGUUGCUGUGCCUGAGCCGCCACAAGGACGUUGGGUGGAGGGGAUCCUGAAGUUGCUGCAGGUAGAAAACGGCGGAACAUGUGAGCUCUUUCUCCCUCUUUUCAUCAUCUCCCCGCUGCUGCUCUACUAGCAGUAGCAGAAAAACGCCACUGACCUUGCCCAAGCUGAGAUUUUUCUUCAUUACCUUGCCCCUGUCCUGUUUGAUGAAUUGUCUAUGAGCACAUUCAUCAUGUGUUUCAUGUUGUAUUUUCUCCUGUAGGGAACUCUAGGUUCUCUGGUUGGGUUUCUUUUCAUUGCCUUGCUCGAUUUGUGUUUGCUGAAAAUAUAUAUGAGCUAAUGCAUUGGUGUUGUGUUCAUAUUUGUUUGAUCGAUGGAACUUGAAGUAGUGAUUUAUUUGAUGGCCUAACCAACACUGAAAAGAUAGUAUUUUAGGAAAGCGGCUAGAAAUUUUUGGUUUCAAAGAGCUAUACUUCUAUUAUUUCAAGUUAUAUAUUGUCAUGGAUAUUCCCUAUGCUUGCUAAAAGAUUCUAAUCUUGCUCUAUAUCUGCCCUUAAUAUCAAGAAAACGAGUUACUGCUGCGGCAUUUUAUCUAGCCUACAACUCUCUGUUAUUCUGCAAUAGUAGUACGAGUCUUGGUACUGUCGUUACAUCUGUAAUAGAUAGAAUUAUUCCUCAAUAACGGGGCAUCUAUUGUGGCAUCAUCCAUCCCUUCUGCGGUUGAUGGCCGUGUCUCCCACAAACUACGCCCAAGGUGAUUCACUUUUGCACCAACAAAGGCUAAUCUCACCUUCUUCUUUUUUUGAUUUCUUGCGGCAGUAUUACAAUCCAAGAUAAUUAACAUGAUAUGUUUGUGUUCUGUCCUGAUGGAAGCUCUCUUGUUGGCCUUGUGCAGUUGAUGUGGUGAACUAGCGGAAGGAAGAGCUAUGGUGGACAAAAACCAAGACUUGCAGUGGAUGUGCUGAAAUAGCUAUGGGUGACAGAUCCAAGACAUGAGAUUCUAACCAUCUUCUUGCGAAGGCUUUCUUGCAAAUCAGUGGAUGUAACCAUGUCAUAGUUUGAUUUUAAGUGCCAUGGAAUCUUGACAGUGGUCACAUGCUCUUUUAUCCUUUUUACUGCUAGCAUUUUUAUCACUCUGGAUAUUCCGUUUCUAAUGUCAUUUGAAUUGAGAUCUUUUUGUCACUCAUCCAUGGAUCCUUUGCAUAUAAGAGGUGUUUUGUGUGAUUGCAACCAGUCAUAUAUGUUUGGUGUUUGAACAUAUAUCAUGAUAUAUCUUGCUGGUAAUGUUGUG
rnacentral:lncRNA from 1 species